rnacentral:rRNA from 1 species
CCUACGGGUGGCAGCAGUGGGGAAUAUUGGACAAUGGGGGGAACCCUGAUCCAGCCAUGCCGCGUGUGUGAAGAAGGCCCUCGGGUUGUAAAGCACUUUCAGUGAGGAAGAACGCCUGGUGGUUAAUACCCAUCAGGAAAGACAUCACUCACAGAAGAAGCACCGGCUAACCCCGUGCCAGCAGCCGCGGUAAUACGGAGGGUGCGAGCGUUAAUCGGAAUUACUGGGCGUAAAGCGCGCGUAGGUGGCUUGAUAAGCCGGUUGUGAAAGCCCCGGGCUCAACCUGGGAACGGCAUCCGGAACUGUCAAGCUAGAGUGCAGGAGAGGAAGGUAGAAUUCCCGGUGUAGCGGUGAAAUGCGUAGAGAUCGGGAGGAAUACCAGUGGCGAAGGCGGCCUUCUGGACUGACACUGACACUGAGGUGCGAAAGCGUGGGUAGCAAACAGGAUUAGAUACCCGAGUAGUC